rnacentral:misc_RNA from 1 species
GGGACAAAUCGUGCGUAAUUCCUAUAAGUUUUAGCCCCAUUAGUGAAAAGAAACUAAUAUUGGCUCUUCAAUUCAAGAAGGGGGUGAAGUUUAGAGAGACGACAUAUGUGAUGGUUCCGAUUAUUAAAGAAGCUGGGGAAACGUUGCAACAUUCCCAACAGUACAUGGAUGUAAUGUUGGAUAGGCUGCCUAUAGUCUUGCUACCACGUUGUAGCAUAGAUCAUAAGAUUGAGUUAUUGCCUGGAACAAAGCCUCCUGCAA